AUUGAACGCUGGCGGCAUGCCUAACACAUGCAAGUCGAACGAGUGGCGGACGGGUGAGUAAUGUCUGGGACCCUGCCAGAUGGCGGGGGAUACCUACUGGAAACGGUAGCUAAUCCCGCAUACCAUCAACUUUUCCCAUAUUGGAUUAGCUUGUUGGUGGGGUAACGGCUCACCAAGGCGACGAUCCAUAGCUGGUCUGAGAGGAUGACCAGCCACACUGGAACUGAGACACGGUCCAGACUCCUACGGGAGGCAGCAGUGGGGAAUAUUGCACAAUGGGCGAAAGCCUGAUACAGCCAUGCCGCGUGUAUGAUGAAGGUCUUCGGGUUGUAAAGCACUGUUAGCAGGGAAGCGUUACCUGAAGAAGAAGCACCGGCUAACUACGUGCCAGCAGCCGCGGUAAUAC
rnacentral:rRNA from 1 species